rnacentral:rRNA from 1 species
UCUGGUGGUUUGAGCGGGACGGAACCACCCGUUACCAUCCCGAACACGGAAGUGAAACAUCCCAGCACUGACGAUACUGUGCUCGCAAGGGUAUGGGAAAAUAGGUC